GACGAACGCUGGCGGCGUGCUUAACACAUGCAAGUCGAACGCUGAAGCUUGGUGCUUGCACUGGGUGGAUGAGUGGCGAACGGGUGAGUAAUACGUGAGUAACCUGCCCUUGACUCUGGGAUAAGCCUGGGAAACUGGGUCUAAUACUGGAUACGACAUGUCACCGCAUGGUGGUGUGUGGAAAGGGUUUUACUGGUUUUGGAUGGGCUCACGGCCUAUCAGCUUGUUGGUGGGGUAAUGGCUCACCAAGGCGACGACGGGUAGCCGGCCUGAGAGGGUGACCGGCCACACUGGGACUGAGGCACGGCCCAGACUCCUACGGGAGGCAGCAGUGGGGAAUAUUGCACAAUGGGCGGAAGCCUGAUGCAGCGACGCCGCGUGAGGGAUGACGGCCUUCGGGUUGUAAACCUCUUUCAGCACGGAGGAAGCGAAAGUGACGGUACGUGCAGAAGAAGCGCCGGCUAACUACGUG
rnacentral:rRNA from 1 species